UACGUAGGGGGCUAGCGUUGUCCGGAAUCAUUGGGCGUAAAGCGCGUGUAGGCGGUCCGGUAAGUCCGCUGUGAAAGUCGGGGGGCUCAACCCUCGAAUGCCGGUGGAUACUGUCGGGCUAGAGUGCGGAAGAGGCGAGUGGAAUUCCUGGUGUAGCGGUGAAAUGCGCAGAUAUCAGGAGGAACACCGAUGGCGAAGGCAGCUCGCUGGGACGGUACUGACGCUGAGGCGCGAAAGCGUGGGGAGCAAACAGG
rnacentral:rRNA from 1 species